rnacentral:rRNA from 1 species
GYUCAGGGUGUCGAGGUUGUCGUGCUCUAUUAGAGUUCAGCUGGUGGUAAUCAGGCGACUGGUUGCUGUUGGUGCAUUCUCUGAUUGAGUUGGACCGUCAGUUGGGAAGACUCUGGGGCCUGUUUGACAGCAGAUGGGAGGUAAGCCCUGUUGUUCCGUAUGGAUGUCAGGGUGACGUACAGCCUUCUGUUGUGGUUCCAGUCGUUUUUCAGGUGCGUUGGAUGUCUGUUCGUCCAGAAAUGGAAGGUACAGUCUCUCGUUGUGGGGGGUCGGGCCUCCUUAGGGUUGCGGUGUGACACUGUGUUGUGUCCCGUUCUCUCUCCGUUAUGUCUUUGGCUGGCGGGGUGGAAAACGGCACAUCGGGUGUUUAUGCUGUCCCUCUGAGUGAGUGUCCUGGAAUCUGUGCCAAGGUGACUGGCGAAGAGUCGUUACCCUGUGC